rnacentral:rRNA from 1 species
UUGCUACNUUUCCUAGCGGCGGACGGGUGAGUAAUGCUUAGGAAUCUGCCUAUUAGUGGGGGACAACAUUCCGAAAGGAAUGCUAAUACCGCAUACGCCCUACGGGGGAAAGCAGGGGAUCUUCGGACCUUGCGCUAAUAGAUGAGCCUAAGUCAGAUUAGCUAGUUGGUGGGGUAAAGGCCUACCAAGGCGACGAUCUGUAGCGGGUCUGAGAGGAUGAUCCGCCACACUGGGACUGAGACACGGCCCAGACUCCUACGGGAGGCAGCAGUGGGGAAUAUUGGACAAUGGGCGCAAGCCUGAUCCAGCCAUGCCGCGUGUGUGAAGAAGGCCUUUUGGUUGUAAAGCACUUUAAGCGAGGAGGAGGCUACUUGGAUUAAUACUCUAGGAUAGUGGACGUUACUCGCAGAAUAAGCACCGGCUAACUCUGUGCCAGCAGCCGCGGUAAUACAGAGGGUGCGAGCGUUAAUCGGAUUUACUGGGCGUAAAGCGUGCGUAGGCGGCUUUUUAAGUCGGAUGUGAAAUCCCUGAGCUUAACUUAGGAAUUGCAUUCGAUACUGGGAAGCUAGAGUAUGGGAGAGGAUGGUAGAAUUCCAGGUGUAGCGGUGAAAUGCGUAGAGAUCUGGAGGAAUACCGAUGGCGAAGGCAGCCAUCUGGCCUAAUACUGACGCUGAGGUACGAAAGCAUGGGGAGCAAACAGGAUUAGAUACCCUGGUAGUCCAUGCCGUAAACGAUGUCUACUAGCCGUUGGGGCCUUUGAGGCUUUAGUGGCGCAGCUAACGCGAUAAGUAGA